rnacentral:misc_RNA from 1 species
GAAAUGCGAUAAGUAAUGUGAAUUGCAGAAUUCAGUGAAUCAUCGAAUCUUUGAACGCACCUUGCGCUCCUUGGUAUUCCGAGGAGCAUGCCUGUUCGAGUGUCGUGAAGCUCUCAACUCACUUCUUUUGUUAAAAAGGAAGUGCAGCUUGGACUUGGAGUCUGUCGGCGUGAGUCGACUUCUCUGAAAUGCAUUAGCCCUACUGCAGAUAAACGAUGGGUAACAGUGUAGUAAUCUUUUGAUCGUCGCUGUGUCCGUUCCCCUUCCGCGGUUGGCUCACAAAGUAAAAGCAGAAGUCAAUCUUCUCUUUUUUUCAAUCUUUUGACCUCGAAUCAGGUAGGACUACCCGCUGAACUUAA